CUCCCGGGCUUGGAGUCCCCCAAAGGAGUUCCACCCGGAGCAGGACACCGGAAAGUGGGGCUGCUAGCCGGACUGCGGCAGCGCAUCACCCCUAGAGUUGGUUUUCCCCCGACAGCUCCAACUCCGCUCUCCCGCGGAGCUGUGUUCCCAGGAGGCUGCCGCGGCCGCUGCUAGGCUGAGAAGAACAGGGGCGGGGGAAGGGGCGGGAGGCGGGGAGCUGGGCCGGGAUUUCCCACAGGGAUUCGCGAGCGCUACCGAGCGCCCAGGCUCCCCGCUGCGCCGGGCACGGUGUCUUUGGAGCGCGCUUUCCCAGCCACCAGCCGGAGGCACCGCCAAGUCUGAGCUGGCAGAGAGUGACGCUGCCCGACGAUUCCCGGCCGCCGAAUCUCCUCUCCGGGGUGGUGGAGAGGCUGGGAGACUUUAGGUAGGACCGACCACUCACCCCAGCCCACUCCUGUUCCAAGGCUCAAGAGGCGAAAAGGGUUUCCACCUCUCCCCGACUGACCCUGGAAACGUGAAGUCCCGCAGGCACCCGGACCACCAGACUGGUCCCCAAGGGACUGGAUCCGCUUUAAAUGAUCAAAUGAGCCCUCUUUCAUCUUCUCUGUGACAACAGCUCCCUGCCUACCCUGUUUAGAGCAACUCCAGGGGCGCACCCGUGCCUCUCCUCCAGAGCUCUUCACUUUCUAGCACGGAAUCCACAGUUCACAGAACAGUGCCUGACCUGUGGGAGGCAUAGUACAUGUCCGUCGAAAGAAUGAAUACUGUUCAGAUAACCUGUGGGCCCUUGCUCCAGGGUCCACGGGGAACCGGACUUGCUUCCUGUCCAACGUUUCGCAGUGUUCACUUCCCAAUGCAUUGUGAACUUCCACAGAGGGCCCUGACCCCAGAGGACAGCUCAGCGUGGGGAGACCAGGAGUCACACAGUCAGCUCUAAAACAGCAGGGCCAGCAAGAGGGCUCUCCCAGGCCCUGCAAGGCGAGGUGCACUGUUGCUGCGGCCCAGGCCUUCAGUGUGGGUGGGAAGGACUUAGGCAGCAACCGGGGAUGCAGCCUUGGAGAUAGGAGCAAUUCUCCCAGGCUCAGCUCUCACAGCUACACUUUAUUUUCCUGUUUCUGGAGAUGGUCAAGGGUUCUAAAUCAGAAACUCACCUUGAGGCUGUUAUAUGUUAUGCUGGAGAUGUGUCUUUCCCUCCUCCCGCCCCCGCCCCCAACAUACCUGAUGAUAGUCUGGUCCUACAGGGUCAGGGAUGACCCGUUAGGUUCCCCACCCCUCCUCCUACGCCUCUCACCUUGGAGGCACCAAGCCUUUCCCCUGGUCUGUUAAUGAGCUAACAGCGGGCAGAUGUGAUACUUCUCUUUGGGAUGACUCUCCCUCUGGGCUUUUCUAAAUCAGUUCCCCACACCCCCGCCUCUGUGUGUCUAGUCUCUCCUUUGCUGGGACUGCUUCCUCUCCACCACAGCCAGACUCAAGUCCCCCAAUCCUGACAAUUCUUUCCUUCCCUGGCUCUGACUCAGGCUGCCUUCCUCCUCCCCUCCCCUCCCUCCUACCCCACGUCUGUGCCUGAAGGGAAGAUGUCAUCAACCUCCACCUUCUCAUCAUCCACCUUAAUGCCAUGUUAGCUGCCCUCUAUACCUCCACACCACGAGCUGUGUCCUGAUGUCCCUGGAGUCACCUGAUGUCACCCUAGGCAACAAUCUGCUCCUAGUUAACCGUCAUCCUCCUGCACCGUCAGCACCUGCCGACAUUGGUGUCCAGUAGAUCUUCUGGGGCUCUGACCCCAGUUUCCAUGGUCUUGCUUCUCCUCCUACCCGUCUUGCCACUUCUUACUGUUCCCUCUGUUACCUCUUCAGCUUUCAAGAGAGGUAUCCCCCAAACUCCAUCCUUGGAGUUCGUCCUCCUGGGGUACAUGAGCAACUCCUUGGCAGCUUCACUUGCUUUUUUACCCCCAGCCAUCCCUUCAUGGAUGGACAGGUGGAUGGAUGGAUGGGUGAGUUUCACACUCUUCCCUCCCCCUUUCACUACAUCACAGUCACUUGGUAGGCAUGUCUGGCAAAGCCCCCACUCUGCCACGUCCUCCUCCUUAUGCCCUUGUCCUAUGCCUGUGCAUCUGACCCAGUGUAAACCCAUACUACCUUCCCCUGGACAACUGGAGAAUCUCUGAAUGACGGUCCAGCUUCCCUCCCUCCCCUUAAUCCCUCCAAACUCUGCUGCCAAACUCAUCCUUCUCAAGCCAAGCUUGAUCUUAUCUCUUCCCUGCAUAGCAACCUAGUGGCUCCUCACUGUCUGCUGAAGAGAGACUGACCACUCUAGCAUGACAUUCAGACUGCUUUGUAAGCUCUCUGAAACCUGCCUUCUCAGCCCAGAUUCUGCUGGUCUUUUUCUGGGCCUAGAGUAUCCUCUUGCCAUCUCCACAACCACACCAAGGCCAGUCAUGUGCUCACCCACGUAUUCAGGCAGGCCCUGUUCUAGCUGUGGGAACACAGUAGACAGCCCUUCUCUGAGGGGUCUUACCAUGUGGUGGAAGGAUGGCAAUAAUAAGCAAAUAGGCAGUGGCAUGUCAGGUGCUGAGGAGAGCUCUGGAGAAUCACAAAGCAGGAAGCAGCGAGAGAGUGACAGCGGCUAGUUAGACAUGCUGGGAAGACCUUCUCUUUACUGAGCACCUUCUGCCACAAGCACUGUACUGAAUGUUAACUUGCACAACUAAAAUGAGUUGAAUUGAAUUUCCUGACCUCUAUUCCUACCCAAAUCCCACCUCUCCCAGGAAGCCUUUUCUUCUGUCCCUCUUCCUGAUACCCUUAUGUUAUAUUUCUGUGGGUACUGAAUGGCUCUCUCAGACAUGGCUGAAGACAUAACUGACCAUUAGCUAACUAACUGCAGAAUGUCACACCUGAGAGCACGCUUGGAGCCCACCAAGUACAGGGAUUUCAAGUAGAACCCUGCUAGGGACUUUGAACUUGUGCCAGGAUAAUUUCAGGAACAUCACAAACUAGGCCCUCUGAAAAUACUGAUCCCUAGGCCAGUCAGUAGGGAUGAGGUAGGCCCAUGAUAUGGUUUGGCUGUGUCCCCACCCAAAUCUCAUCUUGAAUUGUAGCUUCCAUAAUUUCCACGUGUUGUAGGAGGGACCUGGUGGAAGGUAAUUGAAUCACGGGGUGGGGGGGGAUUCCCACGCUGUUCUUGUGAUAGUGAAUAAGUCUCAUGAGAUCUGAUUGUUUGAUAAAGGGGAGGUCCCCCACACACACACACGCUGUCUCUUGCUUGCUGCCAUGUGAAACGUGUCUUGCUUCCCCUUUGCUUUCCAUCAUGAUUUUGAGGCCUCCCCAGCCAUGUGGAACUGUGAGUCAAUUAAACCUCUUUUGUUUAUAAAUUACCCAGUCCCGGGUAUAUCUUUAUUAGCAGUAUAAGAACAGACUAAUACAGCCCACGAAUGUGAUUUCAUAUCCUCCCGUCCCCAAUUGACUAUGCUGCAUGAUGAGGCUUGGAAGCUGCUGUUCUUUGUCCAGGAGCUUACAACUGCCCUGAGGCCUCCUCAGGGGAUACUCAUGAAAGUGGCCAAGGGAUUGGGGCUUCAGAUCUCACGAAAGUGGCCAAGGAAUUGGUGCUUCAGACCUCACCUCUGCUCCAGUAGCUUUUUUAUCUUUUUUACAGGGCAUCUAUAUCAGGUUUUUUUUUUUUUUUUGAAGGAAGUGUUCUUCAGCAGGAAAAGAAGGAGGGAGGUGAACAGUAAGAGGAAUUCAAGGAGAGGAUUUGAUUGGGGUGGGGUAGGGAACAUUAACUCACUGAUGACUUCUAGAACAUGCUGAUGGCUCAGGCAAGAAUAGUGUCAGUUUAGGGCUGCUUGUUAAUUUCCCUAAUAACUCAAGGUAUUGACUUUUCUUGAGCAAGUUAAAUAUUAAUUUAGUUUUGCAGAAGAUUGAUCUUUCUCUAGCAAUGGGUUAUGAUUUGUAAAUAUCCCUGAAGGCACCAUUGGUUUGGGAUUCCAAGCCUGGGUGCCUCUUUUCCCCUAGAGCAGCUCCUUGGCAAUUUUUUUUUCUAUCUGAUGUCAAAUGCUCACUUAUUUUCUUGAUUAAUCACUCAGCUAUUUGAUAUCACUAAAUCACUCCUUCAAAGCGACAGAUGCUUGCUGCUAAGGCCAGCAGCUGAGGGCUCUCAGGCACCCAAGGGUGACUGAACUCUUUUGCUAAGACUCAGAGGCCCAUCUGACUAGAAGGCUUUGGGGCAGUCAACCAGCUCACUCCCUACCUCUAAACAGUUUUGUGUCUAAAUGUUUGGAAAGCAUUUCUAGUGAAAGCAAUUGCACAAUUUCCCUUGAUAAUUCUACCCAAUAUAAAGCUAUUCUAUUAGAAUUUUCCUGCUCACUUAUAACCCACAUCAUAUGCGUGUGUGUGUGUGUAUAUAUAUACGUGUGUGUGUGUGUAUAUAUGUAUAUAUGUAUACAAAACCUUUUUUCAUUCACUACUUAUUAGUGACAAAGGUACACAAAUAGCAUCCAUCCUGAGUAUGAUCACUUGCAUGUCUUGUACAUGAGAAGAUUUUGUUGCCCCAUCCUAUCCUUUCCCUUUGAAAUACUGCUUUACCGCAUAAAUAAAAGGUUCAGUUACACACUCCAUGACCCAGGUGACCUUUAAUUAGAUUCUUAAGCUGCAAGACAUAUUUUCAUCAAUUAUUUUUUGAGAGGCAGGUGGAACCUUUAAGAUUUAUUUGAAACACUUUAAUAUGGAUAACAGGCAAAUAACAAAAAACUUCCUUUCCCUAUUUUGUUCUUUCUUCCAACAUUUAUUCAGCAGCAAUUCUGUGCCAGUUGUCUGCAAAAUGCUAGGGACCCAGUGAUGGCUGGGACCCAGUCCCUCCCUUUAAGGAUCUCAUGGUCUCCCAAUGGAGAUGGGUAAAAAAAUUAAAUGUAUUACGAGACUUUUCAUCCAAAAUGGUCUCUAGCUAGAGGCCUUCAACAAGCCUGUCCUUGCUUCUCAGGAAAAUACCUCAGCAAAUCCAGACAAAUAUGAAGAAUUAUAAAACAAGGUGAACAAACACUGAUAGACAACCUAAUUGCCAGGAUGUGGAAGAAACUGACAAUGCUUAUAAGGUACAUCAAGCUGGAUUGAGAAAAAUCUAUCAAGCGUAUGUAUGACAUAUGCCAAGUUCUCUUUUUUAAAAGAGAAACUACUUUAAAGACAUAGCUAGGAAGGCAUAUUGUAAUUCCCUCUCUGUCAAUAUUUGACUCAGACACUCAGGAUCUCUACUAACCAGAGAAUGGAGUAAAUAUCUAUCAUCACCAUUGUUGUUCAGUUUCAACCCAAACGAAGAACAGCUUCCCUGGUCAUCCUCUUCCCUUCCUUAGUGUCUUCCACAUCUAGAAUAGCUUAAAAAUGAAAUAUACAACUGGAUAGAUGGAUGGGCUGAUGAAGAAACAAUGCAUUCUUCAGGUAAAAAACAGUCAAGAGGCUGGAACAGUCACAGUAAUGACUGUACUGUGACAGUACAGCCUGCUGACUAGAGUUUUUCCUGGGAUACAGCAUGUCAGAGCACCAGAGAAUUGGGAUGGUGGUUGGAGAAAGAUGCUACCUCAGUAGGGAAGACAUACACCAGAUGAAGCCUGUUGGCAACUGGCAAUUAAGCAUUGCUGUAGGUUUAUAAAGGUGAUUCAGUGAUCAAGCAAGUAGACAGCUAGAGGAUCGAAGACCAACCUACUCAUCCUGCCUACCAAAAUACACUGAGAAUUAAUGAGUCUUUCCCUUCUCAAGGAGGAGUGAAGAGAAGUCAGGACACCUCAGGGACCUAUUACAACACUGCGAAACCAGGAGCAGCACCUUCAAGACCCAGAUGAGGAGCAUCCUUUUGAAAAUGAAGUUCUGCAGAAUCUAGAGACAUUUUCAGGAAACUUCUUGGCACACAUGAAGACAUAAAUUAGGAUAUAGAGAAACAAACUUAUGAGAAAACAGAUUAAACAGAAAAGACCACAGAAUAAAAGAAGAAGGGAGAAGAAAGGGAUAGGAAGUGUUUUAAGGAAGCAAAAAUGCAGUGUCAGAAUUCAACUCCACAUUGGUGUGUCAGUCAAGCGUACAUUUGUUGCUGCUGAACAUUGAAUGGAUGAUAUGAAAGAUAAACUGGAGAAGCUUCCCAAAAAUGCACACAACAUGAACAGAAAAGAAAAAUGGAAACAGAGAAUACAAAACAAACAGAAGAUAGAAAAUGGAGAACCAACUUAUAUAAAAUUGUGCUAGCUCCUUGCAAGGUGCUGGGGACCUUAAAGGGUCCCCAAAAGAGUUCCGAGAAGAGUUCAGAGUUCUUUAAAAAGAGACCAGUACAAAUGCCAUGAAAGUAAUGACAAAGCUAUGAAAGCAUAAAAUUUUCCUUAGCUGAGUAAAGACUUGAUAGUCACAUCUAGAUAAUGUUUUUGAACCAUAUGGAUUUUUUAAAAGAAAUUUUACAUCUAUUCAAGAACACACACAAACAGACACAUUCAUGGCCACAUAGAAAAACAGGAUACCUACAGUGGAAUAAAUAUCAUUAAUUUCAGAACACUAAAUUCUAGGGAAAAAAAUGAAGCAACAGCUAUAGAGUUUGGGUUUUUCUUGGUUUUGUUUGUUGGUUUCGCUUGGUUUUUUUAGCAAUAGAGUUUUUAAGAGGGAAAAUUUGUAACACAAAAUAUAUAUAAAUCCAGCAAGUUGAAAGCAACAAACAUUUUCAGUCACAUUUUCAGGUCUCAGAAAAUUUGCAACACUUUAGAAAAAAAUUACUUAAAAAUAUAUUCCAAUUGAUAAAGAAAUGAAAUUUUGUGUCAAGCAAUAAAAUCAAUUAAAAUAGAUGUCUAAAUAUUUGCAGACUGCUUUUAAUGUUUUUUUUUAAAUUCGUCCUGCAUAACUGCAGCUUUGUACCAUUUAACCUAUAUCUCUCAUUUUCACCCCCCCGCUACCUGGUAACAACUGAUCUACUCUCUGUUUCUAUGUAUUUGACUUUUAAAAAUAGAUUCUAUGGCUGGGUGCAGUGGCUCACAUCUGUAAUCCCAGCAAUCUGGGAGGCCGAGGCAGGCAGAUCACCUGAAGUCAGGAGUUCAAGACCAGCCUGGCCAACAUGGUGAAACCCCAUCUCUAUUAAAAAUACAAAAAUUAGCCGGGCCUGGUGGCAGGCACCUGUAAUCCCAGCUACUCGGGAGGCUGAGGCAGGAGAAUCGCUUGAAGCCAGGAGGCAGAGGUUGCAAUGAGCCAAGAUCACACCACUGCACUCCAGCCUGGGGGACAAAAGAGAGACUCCAUCUAAAAAAAAAAAAAGACUGAGAUGAUGCCACAUUUUUCUUUUUGUGUCUGCUUUAUUUCACUUAGCACAAUGUCCUUCAGGUUCAGCAUGUUGUUAUAUAUGGCAGGAUCUUUUUUAAGGCUCAAUAAUAUUUCUGUGAGUGUGGUUGUGUGUGUGUGUGUGUGUGUGUGUGUCACAAUUUCUUUAUCCACUCAUCCAUUGAUGGACACAGGUUGUUUCCAUAUCUUGGCUAUUGUGAAUAAUGCUGCAGUGAACAUGGGAAUGCAGAUACCUCUACAAGGUUCUGAUUACAUUUCCUUUUAGUGCAAACCAAGAAGAGGGAUUUCUGGUUCAUGUGGUAGUUUUAUUUUUAAUUUUUUGAGCAAACUUCAUACUGUUUUCCAUAAUGGCUACACCAAUUUACCUUCCAGCCAAGAGUGUGUCCUUUUCCCCACACCCUCAUGAACACUUGCCCCUUAUUUUGUUGAUAAUAACCAUUCUAACAGGUGCGAGGUGAUAUCUCAUGGCUUUUAUUUCAAUUUCCCUGUUGAUUAGUUGAAUACCUUUUCAUAUACCUGCUGGCCACGUUUAUGUCUUCCUUGGAGAAAUGUCUGUUCAGGUUAUUUGCCCAUUUUUAGUUGGGUUAUUUGUUUUUUGUUUUUUGGAGGUUUUUUAAAUAUUGAAUUGUGUGAGCUCCUUAUGUAUUUUGGAUAUUAACCCCUUAUCAGAUAUAUGGUCCAUGAAUAUGUUCUCCUAGUCUGUAGGCUGCCUUUCUAUUUUAUUGACUGUUUCUUUUGCUGUGCAAAAACUUUUUAGUUUGAUGUAGUCUCACUUGUUUAUUUUUACUUUUGUUGCCAAAGCUUUUUGUGUGAUGUCCAAAAAAAUCACUGCCAACGCUAAUGUCAAGGACCCUUUUCUCUGUUUUCUUCUAGAAGUUUCACAGUUUCAGGUCUUAUGUUUAGGUCCUUAAUCCAUUUUGAGUUGAUUUCUGUGUGUGGUAUAAGAAAAGGGUCCAAAUUAGUUUGUUUGCAUGUAGAUAUCCAGUUUUCCCAAUACCAUUUGUUGAAAAUACUCCCUUUUUCCCCUUGUAUCUUCUUAAUGUCUUUGUCAAAAACUAGUUGACCAUACAUGCUUGGGUUUAUUUCCAGGCUUUCUGUUUUGUUCCAUUGGUCUAUGUGUCUGUUCUUACGCCAGUCCAAAACUGUUUUGAUUACUGUAGCUUUGUAAUAUCAUUUGAAAUCAGGAGGUGUGGUGCCUCCAACUUUGUUUUCCGUUCUUAAGAUUGCUUUGGCUCUUCGGGGUCUUUCAUGGCUUUAUAUGAAUUUUAGAAUUGUGUUUUCUAUUUCUGUGAUGAAUGCCAUUGAAAUUUUGAUAGGAGUUGUAUUGAAUCUAUAUAUUACUUUGGGCAGUAUGGACAUUUUAACAAUAUUAAUUCUUCCAUCCCAUGAACAUGAGAUAUCUUAGCAUUUAUUUGUCUUUUUCAGAUUCUCUCAUGAAUGUUUUAUAGUUUUUAGUGUACAGAUUUUUCACCUUCUCAGUUAAACUUAUUCCUAAGUAUUUUCUUCAUUUUUUACUAUUGUAAAUGGGAUUUUCUUGAUUUCUUUUCCAGAUAGGUUGUUACUGGUGUGAAUAUACACAACUGAUUUUUGUGUGUUAGUUUUGUGUCCCUUUAAAUUAAAAUAAAAUGUAAAAAG